UACGAAGGGGGGCUAGCGUUGCUCGGAAUCACUGGGCGUAAAGGGUGCGUAGGCGGGUCUUUAAGUCAGGGGUGAAAUCCUGGAGCUCAACUCCAGAACUGCCUUUGAUACUGAGGAUCUUGAGUUCGGGAGAGGUGAGUGGAACUGCGAGUGUAGAGGUGAAAAUUCGUAGAUAUUCGCAAGAACACCAGUGGCGAAGGCGGCUCACUGGUCCGGUACUGACGCUGAGACGCGAAAAGCGUGGGGAGCGAACAGG
rnacentral:rRNA from 1 species